AACUAGCCCGGAUAGCAAUGGAAAUCCUUUUGUGGCGGAGGAACGAAGCCGGAAAAGAUUGAAAUGUAUAGCCGGAAACAGC
rnacentral:sRNA from 1 species